AAAGAUCCUGGAAGGUGCCAGCAAGUGAGGUUAGGUUUCCCACUGUAGAUGUAAUGGAAACAUGGUUUCCCCACCAACUUCGAGGCUUGAGAGCAUUCAGAAAAAGUUUGGUCAACCUUGUAGGGGAACCAGCCCGCUAUACCACCCGCGGGUUCUCCCCUUCCCAGUGGAGACGAGGGAAUGAGAAAAGAAAUAAAGACAAACACACAAAGUUCAAGAGUUAACAAAAGUGGGUCCAGGGGUCCAUCGCAAUGUGGAAACUGCGACAGCCCUGAGCUCUGGAUUCCACUGAUAUUUACUGAAUAAUCCUUAAAGUCCAACUAAUUGGUUAACAGAACAGGACGUGAAAGCAGACAGCCCGUCAGACCACAGGCCUGUGCAUCAAAGGAGCGGUCCACUCCAAGCACCAUCAGCAGGGCAGCAGAGCUCUCUGCCUCUGGGAACGAGCGAGAGAUAGAAGACUUUCCCCUUAUCCUCAGAGGACUUCUCCUCUUUUACAAGCAACCUCCUGCUGUUCCCUUCUGGGGAAUGGAGCAGGGGUCGCUUCCCUUCCCACAAGACCUUUGUUCAGGGACUCAAGUGGGAGGUUGAGCAAUAAGCAAGCUUUCUUGCUUAGAGGCUCCGCACACUUCCUAUGUAGGGGAACCAGCCCGCUACACCACAUGCGUGUUCUCCCCUUCCCGGUGGAAAUGAAGGAAUGAGAAAAGAAAUAAAGACACAAAGUUCAAGAGUUAACAAAAGUGGGUCCAGGGUUCCAUCACAACACGGAAACUGCGAAGGCCUUGAGCUCUGGAUUCCACUGAUGUUUAUUGAGUACAAUUCCUUUGAUCCUAUGGGCUGAGGGGGCUUAACAGAACAGGAUGUGAAAGCAGAUAGCCCGUCAGACCACAGGCCUGUGCAUCAAAGGAGUGGUCCACUCCAAGCACCAUCAGCAGAGCAGCAGAGCUCUCCGCCUCUGGGAACGAGCGAGAGAUAGAAGACUUCCUCCUCAUCUCUACCGCAGAGGACUUCUCCUCUUUUACAAGCAGCCUCCUGCUGUUCCCUUCUGGGGAAUGGAGCAGGGGUCGCUUCCCUUCCCACGAGACCUUUGUUCAGGGACUCAAGUGGGAGGUUGAGCAAUAAGCAAGCUUUCUUGCUUAGAGGCUCCGCACA
rnacentral:lncRNA from 10 species